rnacentral:rRNA from 1 species
UACGAAGGGGGCUAGCGUUGCUCGGAAUUACUGGGCGUAAGGGGCGCGUAGGCGGAUGUUUAAGUCGGGGGUGAAAGCCCAGGGCUCAACCCUGGAAUUGCCUUCGAUACUGGACAUCUUGAGUGCGGGAGAGGUGAGUGGAACUCCGAGUGUAGAGGUGAAAUUCGUAGAUAUUCGGAAGAACACCAGUGGCGAAGGCGGCUCACUGGACCGUUGUUGACGCUGAGGUGCGAAAGCGUGGGGAGCAAACAGG